rnacentral:lncRNA from 1 species
UAAGCUAGUGCAAGUAUUUAGAUCUCCCUUGGCAUUACAUGGCUAUAUACUAGUUUAAGCAAUUAUGCAUAUUUGCGCUCCAAUCAGCAUCUUACCACAAGAACAUCGCACAUGCUCGUCUCACUGGUGCCAGUAGGCAAUUGAAAAGGGCAAUCAAGAUUAAAGUACACUACACUCUACUUCAAAGCAGCAAUAAAGAAAGAAAAAAACGGUGC